GGAGUAUCUGUUUAGUUUAAUAGUUUAAUUAUUUAUAUUUAGAAUUGCACUGAUUGCUGAUGUAAACUACAUUUCCCGGAAUGCUUUGUCAGACCGGAAGUUCUGAUUCCCAGACCGGAAGUGAGGGAGAUUUAUCAGAAAACACGAGAAUCCUCAAACUUGCACGACGAACGUAAAACCGGAAAUACCGAUCGGCAACCGGAAGUACGAUCUGGACGAACCAUGCCCCGCCGGAAACAGCUAAACCCC